UAGGGAAUCUUCCACAAUGGACGCAAGUCUGAUGGAGCAACGCCGCGUGAGUGAAGAAGGUUUUCGGAUCGUAAAGCUCUGUUGUUGGUGAAGAAGGAUAGAGGCAGUAACUGGUCUUUAUUUGACGGUAAUCAACCAGAAAGUCACGGCUAACUACGUGCCAGCAGCCGCGGUAAUACGUAGGUGGCAAGCGUUGUCCGGAUUUAUUGGGCGUAAAGCGAGCGCAGGCGGAAUGAUAAGUCUGAUGUGAAAGCCCACGGCUCAACCGUGGAACUGCAUCGGAAACUGUCAUUCUUGAGUGCAGAAGAGGAGAGUGGAAUUCCAUUUGUAGCGGUGGAAUGCGUAGAUAUAUGGAAGAACACCAGUGGCGAAGGCGGCUCUCUGGUCUGCAACUGACGCUGAGGCUCGAAAGCAUGGGUAGCGAACAGG
rnacentral:rRNA from 1 species